GUCAAACCAUGGGUCUGAGAGUCCAAACACUUGUUGAACUGUGUCAGGCUGGUGCUCUGAACACCUUCCCAGGGAGCCUGUU